GAAAUGCGAUAAGUAAUGUGAAUUGCAGAAUUCAGUGAAUCAUCGAAUCUUUGAACGCACAUUGCGCCCGCCAGCACUCUGGCGGGCAUGCCUGUUCGAGCGUCAUUUCAACCCUCAGAACCCCUUGCGGGUUCCGGCCGUUAAACAGCCUUACGAAACCCAAGGUUGACCUCGGAUCAGGUAGGAAGACCCGCUGAACUUAAGC
rnacentral:misc_RNA from 1 species